rnacentral:rRNA from 1 species
GACGAACGCUGGCGGCGUGCUUAACACAUGCAAGUCGAACGAAAAGGCCCUGCUUUUGUGGGGUGCUCGAGUGGCGAACGGGUGGGUAACACGUGAGUAACCUGCCCUUGACUUUGGGAUAACUUCAGGAAACUGGGGCUAAUCCGGGAUAGGAGCUCCUGCUGCAUGGUGGGGGUUGGAAAGUUUCGGCGGUUGGGGAUGGACUCGCGGCUUAUCAGCUUGUUGGUGGGGUAGUGGCUUACCAAGGCUUUGACGGGUAGCCGGCCUGAGAGGGUGACCGGCCACAUUGGGACUGAGAUACGGCCCAGACUCCUACGGGAGGCAGCAGUGGGGAAUAUUGCACAAUGGGCGGAAGCCUGAUGCAGCAACGCCGCGUGCGGGAUGACGGCCUUCGGGUUGUAAACCGCUUUCGCCUGUGACGAAGCGUGAGUGACGGUAAUGGGUAAAGAAGCACCGGCUAACUACGUG